UACGUAGGGGGCUAGCGUUGUCCGGAAUCAUUGGGCGUAAAGCGCGUGUAGGCGGUUCGGUAAGUCCGCUGUGAAAGUCGGGGGCUCAACCCUCGGAUGCCGGUGGAUACUGUCGGGCUUGAGUACGGGAGAGGCGAGUGGAAUUCCUGGUGUAGCGGUGAAAUGCGCAGAUAUCAGGAGGAACACCGAUUGCGAAGGCAGCUCGCUGGAACGUUACUGACGCUGAGACGCGAAAGCGUGGGGAGCAAACAGG
rnacentral:rRNA from 1 species